UUGCACCCGGCAGGUCUUACACGACCAGCUCCCGCUGAACCCCCCCAGGGCCGGAAGGCAGCAAGGGUAGGUGGUUGUAGCGGUGCGAUGUAAAUCGCCUGCCUUUUU
rfam:Niastella koreensis GR20-10, complete genome.